GAACGAGAGUCCUUUCACCUUUUUCUCAUUAUCUUCUUCCGUUACAUUUUUCCGCCCCCUUUCUUCUUCUUUGAAAACACCUUUAAACCCCACAGGGUUCUCUUUCAUUACCGCUCCCAACCGGAACGCGUAGGUAAGGUAACGAUGAAGAUUAACCAUCAACAAUUGAAACGAAGUCUGUCAUUUUGGGUUUUGCUGUAUUUUCCAACUUUUAUAGUGUAUUUUUUUGAAUAUCUAUUUUCUGUCAUUUUGGGUUUUGCUGUAUUUUUUUUUCUGUUUGGGCUUUGUAGUGAUACCUUUUCACCAGGUAUAAUAUGUGUUGGUUUCUGGUGAAAAUGGGGGAGGGAGCAAUGUGGAGUCAAGCCUUUUGUACAUUGCUCCUCAUAUUAUUCCUCAAUUCGUAGCCUAUUCAAUUUGAGUUGUGAGGGUCAACUAUACACAUACAUGGUCCUCAUCUCUGAGACCACAACUCCAGUGAUCAAUUUGAGAUGGUAAUCUUGCACUUAAAUUUGAAUAAGACAUAUAUUGUAAUUUGUUUUUAUGUUAACUUAAUAUGCUUAAUUUGUUUGUGAAGGUAUCUUAAUACCGUUGAAAUGAAAAGAUUAAAAGCUAUACACAUACAUGGCUCUAUAUUUGCUACUAUACUUACACUUUCAUGCUGUUAUAAAAAUAAACCACGACAAUUGACUGGAGAGCUUGGCGUUUUAUUUUGUAUUUAGAAGUUGGUAAAGUAAUUGAAACCAAGAAAUAAAUCUUCUUCUACUUCUUCUAUUUAGCUGAUUUUAUUCAGUUUUAGAAUUGCUUUAUUAGGAAGACAUCCCCAAGCAAAAAACCUGUCAGGUUUGUAAAAUUUAAAGAGCAACUUGCUUCCAUGGUUUUUAUCUUCAUUGGUCUCUUAAAAUAGUGCUUAUGCACUGUUGAUUCUCAUUACCUUUUGUCCUUUAGAACUGCAGAAAAAAAUAAGGUUGCAAGUCAUAUUUUACACUUUAUGUCUGUAUUCCAAUGAAAAGUUCUCUCUCUUUAGAGAUCUGAAACUUUUGUUUUAGGUAGAUUUUGUUAGAAGCAAUUUGAUUCAUGAAGUUUAUGGUUUGCUUUUAGGUUGACAUUGGUAACUUAAAUGGCGUGAGUGGAGAUGCAAUUGAAGAUUUGGAUGGUAACCAAAUGAAUUACAUGCAUAAAACAUAGUGGACUGUUUAUUUGUUCACACAUUGAUUUUGUGUUUUGGUUUCAUCUCAAACCACAUUUUGUGGGACUUUUCAGUUUGACCUUUUGUAAUUUCAAACAGAAGUUCUGCUUUUGUCGUAGGCACGUGUAUCAAACUGAAAGAAGAUUAAUUGUUGCUGCUAUAUUUAUAUUCAUCUAUAGGAUUCAGCCUUGGUUAUUAUCCACUUGAAGGGAAACUUAACUCCAAGUGCCUUUUUACUUGAUUAGAUCUGGGAAAAAGUUUUUUGCUGAUUGUGGAACGCCAGGGCCAAAAUGGGUGUAAGUAUUAGGAUGAUUUUUUUCCUUCUUCUUGGAUGAGGUGCCUGUUUUUAGCUCUAUGUAGUUUCUGGGAACUGAAAUCAUCUUUAAUCUAUCAAGGAAACAUUACAAGUGAAAUUACUUUCUAGGCAUCCAGAGCAUGAAGUAUUGGUCAAGCCAGAUUGUUUGCUUUCUCCAUGCUUUUGUGAUUGCUUACCAGAUACACCACUGCGAUUGGUUUGGGAAGUGGCUUUGGUUUUGUUGUAUUAAAUUUAGUAUCUAAAGUUUCAAAUUAAUUAUUAUUCUAUUUUUUUAUUAGAAUUUUAAUUAUGUUGUUUAGUAAACAGAUAUUGCACUUUAAUAGAUUCUUUGAAUCUCGACGAUGGACAAAAAAUUGUCUGCAUGACAUCAGUCUAAGCAGGAGUUUUCACAUGCUACAAAAUCAGGGUACAGUGAUCAAUCAUCAUGAUUUUCACGACACCCUAAUGUAACAAUGGUAGGACAUUAUGUUGAAGAAGUAGAAGAGGUGAAGACAUUUGUUCCAGAGUCCAUACCGAAGAAGGGUAAGAAGGAAGAAGAACGUGCCUUGGUUAAAAUGCAAGAUCUUGAAGCUGUUAAUAAGAAAAGAGCUAAGAGUCGUAAGCUUAUCUACAACAGAGCUAAUCAGUACGCCAAGGAGUGCAAUGAGUAGGAAAACACUAUAUAUUGGUGUAUGUGCCUCAAUCUCAAAAACAGAUAACUUGGUUUGCAAAAAAAACCAUUGUUUCUCAAUGUUUCUCGGUCUCUAACAUGAGACUGAAAGAUAAAGCUAAAAUUUAGUGCUCCAGUAAUGCUUCUAAGAAACAUUGAUCAAUAAGUUGGAAUGUGUAAUGGUACACAUCUAAUUAUUACUCGAAUGAGGACAAAUAUUUCGGAAUAAAAGGUAAUAUCUAAAACAAAUGCCAGACAAAGAGUUCUCAAACCAAUUAACAAUAAAUGAUUAAAAAUCCUCAUUUGGAAUA